rnacentral:rRNA from 1 species
GGGUGAGUAACGCGUAGGGAACCUGGCCCUUACAGGGGGAUAACAGAUGGAAACAACUGCUAAUACCGCAUAAGCGCCCAGCCUCGCAUGAGGCAGAGUGAAAAACUAAGGUGGUAAGGGAUGGCCCUGCGUCCGAUUAGCUAGUUGGUAUGGUAACGGCAUACCAAGGCGACGAUCGGUAGCCGGCCUGAGAGGGUGGACGGCCACAUUGGGACUGAGACACGGCCCAAACUCCUACGGGAGGCAGCAGAGGGGGAUAUUGCACAAUGGGGGAAACCCUGAUGCAGCGACACCGCGUGGGUGAAGAAGCGCUUCGGCGUGUAAAGCCCUAUCAGUGGGGAAGAAAAAGGACGGUACCCAAAGAAGAAGCACCGGCUAAAUACGUGCCAGCAGCCGCGGUAAUACGUAUGGUGCAAGCGUUAUCCGGAAUGACUGGGUGUAAAGGGAGCGUAGACGGUUGUACAAGUCUGAUGUGAAAGCCCACGGCUCAACUGUGGGAGUGCAUUGGAAACUGUAUAACUAGAGUAUCGGAGAGGCAAGUGGAAUUCCUAGUGUAGCGGUGAAAUGCGUAGAUAUUAGGAGGAACACCAGUGGCGAAGGCGGCUUGCUGGACGAAAACUGACGUUGAGGCUCGAAAGCGUGGGGAGCAAACAGGAUUAGAUACCCUGGUAGUCCACGCUGUAAACGAUGAAUACUAGGUGUUGGGGCCC